rnacentral:rRNA from 1 species
UACGUAGGGGGCCAGCGUUGCUCGGAAUUACUGGGCGUAAAGGGUUCGUAGGUGGUGCGGCAAGUUGGGAGUGAAAUCUCUGGGCUUAACUCAGAGGCUGCUUUCAAAACUGCCGCGCUCGAGUGCGAGAGAGGUCAGUGGAAUUGCAGGUGUAGCGGUGAAAUGCGUAGAUAUCUGCAGGAACACCCGUGGCGAAGGCGGCGACCUGGACAGUUACUGACACUCAACUACGAAAGCGUGGGGAGCAAACAGG